GGGCACUGCGGUCGGCGUCGGGCAAAUUAACCUUCCAGCCGGGGCCGGAACGGUCGGCUGGGGUAGCCUGAGACCAAGCGACAGGGAACUCCCAUCUCCCCCGAAACGGUGACGUGUGGAAUGAAGGCUUCACUUUCCAAAGAACGCCUCUGCACAGCAAGCGUUCUUUUUACCUUUCUUCUUUUUCUUUAUUUUUUUUCAGAAUCAGAAAGGCUAGUUACAUGAGCUAUCGUUAUUGAAAAAAGGAAGAGUUGAAAAGGCUUUUAAAAAGAUGCCAACCCAUAGAAAGAGUGACACCUAAGAAGGAACACACAGUAUUUAACUUCCCCUGGCCGCGCAAGAAGUAGGACCAGCCCUGGUCUAGAGUAAGAUGAACCACAAAGAUGAAACCUCACCUUCUGGGGUGAGUCAGUCCUCUGCAGGACAUGGGAUGUCCUGGUGAAGAACCCCGCCCUGUGGACAGGGCAGGAGGUCUAGUCUCGUAUUUCACUUUGGAGUUCUGUGGUGAAAUGAAGAUAUUCAACCUCCAGCCAGAGUGAAGAACCUGCACAGAAGGCUAUGAGGAAAGAAGCAUUCUGAGAAGGCACGGAAGUGCCUGAAGUCACACAGCCAGGAUCUACUUAGGAUACUUUGUUUCAGAUAAAAUUUCUAAUUGUGUUUAUCCUUAAGACACCCUAAACAAAGAGUAGAAGGCACCGGACCGCCUCCCUUCCUCAUUUCCUCCAGCUACCUUCAUGGUGAUGGUCAUGGAGACUAGAGAACGGAAAGUCAACUGGCAGAUGACUUUUCAGAGACUUCUAUGGAAAAAAACAGGUCCCUUUCCUGGCAGCCUUUUCAUGGAAACCAUUUAGGACUUCCACAGUUUAACAAGGGGUUCCCAAAGUCUCUGCUGAUACACUCCAGUAGAUUAACAUGAAACGCCUCAAAACGCGCACCAGCUGAAGCUGUUGGGAUCGAUUAUUAUAACUUCAAACCAAUUUGCAGAAAUGCCUGAUGUGAAAAGGGGAUGUGGUUGGGACAAGUGAGGAUUUCAGAGUUAGGACAAGCUUAGCCCUAAAAGCUUAAGAACAUUCCUCUCUAAAAACUUUACAUCAAUUAAGUCUCUAUUUAUGUUGCAACAUUAAGUCAAGAUGGAGUGAAGGCUUUCGAAGAGCCAUAUCCAAAAAAAGAUUACAGGGUACGUACAGAUGGGUUUCAACAAAAGUGAAAAUUAAACAGGAAACAAAAUCACCAUUUUAGGUGCAUGAUACGCUCCGGCCUGAUGUCUGAAGGCUAGAACGUAUCAUGUUUGCAAACCACCUUUUCCAUGAGGAAACCUGAAUACGCUUUGGGUGGAAAUUUCCAGAUGUAAAUAGAAGGCUUGCGUCGUCAGAGAAUGCCAGCUGAAACCAAUGAUAUUUAGGGGGAUGAUCACUUAAUUCUGAAUGGCCCACGAUUGGCUAUCCUUUGUCCUGGAAAUGGGACACUCAGGUGUGGCUUGAGCUACACUGACCAUUGCUAUUGGCCAGUCCCUUGGCCUGCCCCCUAACAUGUACCCAAUUACUAUUCAGCGAACACCUCCUAUGUACAAGGCAUUCUGCGCGACUGGGGGGGGUAAGUAUACGGCAUGGUUCCUGCCUCGCACAUCUGUGGUUGCUUAGGGAGAUGGCAUACCUGAAAAGGACUACAUGAGAUAUGUUGACAGUUUAACACAACAGAAGUGUCCUGAAGAUAUACAGGAAAGCUUAAGAGAGGGAGAAUAUUCUUUAGCGUCUGAGCAAGAUGUGACUGGCAUUUUGUUCUUUGCUAGUUAACUGAACUGUGUUGAUUCUAUUCUUGGACCUACGUGGUGUCACCACUUGGCUAUUCCACUGGUUUUUAAGGAGCAGUGGGGUUGAGUUCAGAGAUCAUUAAAGCUCCUGGAAAAACAAAGGUUCUAAGUGGGGGAGGUGCCUUUGAGGGCCCUAUACCUGCAAAGCGGACAAUAGCCUCCAUCGUGUUUUCACCUAGAAGUCAAUUCUUCUAAUCCUCUCCUUAUGAAAACAGUUAUUUGAAUGCUCUAUAACCUUUCCUUUCUAAGAUUUCGAAGAGCUAUAAUGGGUUUUCCUGCUCUAAUGCUUUGACUGCCAGUUAAUUUCCUAAUUUGGAGCUAAUUACUAAACUGCUUAAAAAUUUAAAGCCUGGGCAACCACUUACUGACAAGCUUUCCAUUUAUCACCAUGGCGUCUGAGGACAUGGCCCUUAGCCAAGUACAGAAGCUUCCUCUUCUAUCACAGAACAAACUAGCCUUUGUCAGUGCGGCUCUGCCAGAUGUUUUCUCAGCCAUCAUCUUCAUAUGUUAAAGUUACAGAGUCCGAAGCCUUUCAAGAGCUGGGAGCAACUUCCAGGGUUAAUGCUUCAAAAAACAAAACUAUAAACUGCACAUUUUUCUCUCUGGGGGUUUUUGCUCUAAAGAAGGCUUUAAUUCAUCAUCAUUUGGAAAGAGCCUUUUUUUCAACUUUUUUUGGUCACUGUCUUAACUAAUUGGUUCCUUGUUUUACUUUUCUCUCACAUUUUUGUUUGGAAAUAGUGAAGCUGAGUUUUUGUUUUAUUUUCAUGGAUAAUGAACUGGAAAAGUGGUCAUGUUGUUUAAAAGUAUGUUAGCUCAACUGAUAGAGUUUCUUACCAAAAGCAAUGGAAAAUCCAAUUUUAUCAGCUUUGAAAAGUGAGCAGUAUUGCUUGUAACAACGUAAUGUUGGGGGUAGGGGGUGUUUAAAAUGCUAUCACAAGACACAUGCUGUUAAUCAGAGCGGUUCAAGCUGUGCCUGCAGGGUCUUUUCCCUUCACCCGGUCCUGCUAUAUAACAAUGUAAACAGUGCCCCCUGGAGCUGUGCAGCCAGCUAACCUAUACCCCUGCCCUAUUACAGAACCUUUUAUCCCCCCCUCAUCUGGAAUUUUUUAUAAUCCCAAUUUUGAUUAAAAACAAAUAUUGUAUAUAUGCAUGAAAAAAAAACAGGACUAAAUUACAAGGUUAAUAAUUGAAUCGCUACAAAGAGAGGUGUGUGCUCGUGAAACUUUUCCUAUUUUCCAGUCAACGAAGAACCUGUAGUAUAUAAAAAAGAAAACGUAGGAAAUGUCAUUUCCAUGAGUUCCAAAAAUUCCAUCUUCUCCAGGAAGCAGUGCAUGUUACUUAGAAGUCUUUUUUUUUUUGCUUUCACAUCUACGCGGUCUUCAGCCAACUGAGUCCCUACUCUGUGCCUAGACUGAGAAUGACUCGAUUUCCUUUCCAUGCUGCAGAGGACUUGACAAGAAUAGAUACGUCUUUGAGAGACAGGCUGCCGUGGCACGCAGAGGGAAGGGCAGUCACAGAAAGGGCUCGUGGAGUGCAAGAGGGUCAUGCUAAGAGUGGGAAGGCCCGGCUGGGCGUCGCUCAGCGGUUGAGCGUUGACCUGGGAUCCAGGCG